rnacentral:lncRNA from 1 species
AUGACAAAGAUGGGACGCUUUUGCACUGGAUAUUGCAAAUUGUAUGUGUUUAUUUUCCUAUAUUUCCCUGUUCUUCUCUGUGUAGGGCUGUGUAGAAGUGAACACAGGAUGUUCACAUCUGUGAAGGCAACAGAAACGUCAUUCCAAAUUGCAAUGGAGACAGAGAGCAUCCGGUCGGGCGGAUUCUUUACCAAGCUGAGUCACCAGGGAAGCCGGAAGAAGGACCAGCUGGUCUGUUUAUCAGUGACAGAAGACAGGAGGAGGAGAGAACCGUUUCUGAGUGAGGCAAUCAAAUCUGUCUUGGUCGCUUCAUGGCCGGAAGGCCCUUGGAUAGCAAGCCUGGAGUGUGGGAAAUGCUGUCUCCUCACAGGAUGGAUGCCGUCAGGAUUCUUAACCAGCGGAGCACCACGGACGUCCCCCAGGCUCUUUCGUUUGUUCAGCAUUACGUUUAAUUCACGUUGGUAUGACCUGAUACAGGCACAGGAAGGAUCUGAAAACUUCAUCGUCUCCUGUUAUCCUGCAGCAAGAUUGAUGUAGAAGAGCUUGCAGGUUGUCAUAGCUUUGUGUUCCUGGCGUUGCAAGAGAUUACACCUUGUGAAAAAGACAUACUCUGUAAGAGAUUUUUUCUAAAAAAACUGGAUCAAAUUCCAGUCUCAGGGUUUUUACAUGGAAACCAACUUGAAAGAGAAUUCCGCCAAACAACUGGAAAACAAGUCACAGCCAAUUGGUUUAAAAUAAUACUUGUGCACUUAAUCUGUUUCUAUACAUAACUUGGAGUGGAGUCUAUGAAAUUCUACUGAAAUGUGUGUUCCAUGAAGCAGCGAUGUUGAUCACUCUAUCACCAUAUAAUUGCCUAGAACAAGGGCUUUCCCGGUGGUUCAGACAGUAAAGAAUCCUCCUGAAAUGCGGGAGACCUGGUUCGAUCCCUGGGUCGGGAAGAUCCCCUUGGGAAGGGAAAGGCUACCCACCCCAGUAUUCUCGCCUGGAGAAUCUCCGUGGACAGAGGAGCCUGGCAGGUGGCCGUCCAUGGGGUCGCAAAUUGCUGGAUAUGACUGAGCGACUAAGCCCACCUAGAACAUACUUGAUGAUGCAGUCAUAGGUGGUUUUAUAUUUUUUAUUCUCAGCCCUGCUGAACAGAAACAGGCCAAAGCCCAAGACUCUGCUUUGUAAUUUUUUAAUUAAUUUAAUUGGAGAACAAUGACUUUACAAUAGUGUGAGUUUUUUUUCCCUAUACAUCAACAUGAAUCAGCCACAGGUAUACAUAUUUUUAAAAGUCUAGACAGG